CCUACGGGAGGCUGCAGUGAGGAAUAUUGGUCAAUGGGCGGGAGCCUGAACCAGCCAAGCCGCGUGAGGGAAGAAGGUACAGCGUAUCGUAAACCUCUUUUGUCAGGGAACAAAGGCGGGGACUAGUCCCCGGAUGAGGGUACCUGAAGAAAAAGCAUCGGCUAACUCCGUGCCAGCAGCCGCGGUAAUACGGAGGAUGCGAGCGUUAUCCGGAUUUAUUGGGUUUAAAGGGUGCGCAGGCGGCCUGUUAAGUCAGCGGUAAAAAUUCAGGGCUCAACCCUGUCGAGCCGUCGGAACUGGCAGCCUUGAGUGGGCGAGAAGUAUGCGGAAUGCGUGGUGUAGCGGUGAAAUGCAUAGAUAUCACGCAGAACGCCGAUUGCGAAGGCAGCAUACCGGCGCCCGACUGACGCUGAGGCACGAAAGCGUGGGGAUCGAACAGGAUUAGAUACCCCUGUAGUC
rnacentral:rRNA from 1 species